UACGUAGGGUGCAAGCGUUGUCCGGAAUUAUUGGGCGUAAAGAGCUCGUAGGCGGUCUGUCGCGUCGGAUGUGAAAAUCAGGGCUCAACCCUGGACCUGCAUUCGAUACGGGCAGACUAGAGUUCGGCAGGGGAGACUGGAAUUCCUGGUGUAGCGGUGAAAUGCGCAGAUAUCAGGAGGAACACCGGUGGCGAAGGCGGGUCUCUGGGCCGAUACUGACGUGAGGAGCGAAAGCGUGGGGGAGCAAACGGG
rnacentral:rRNA from 1 species